GAGGCUUUAAAUGAAAAUGUAGUCAAGUUUAUCUAAAUGACAGAACUGUGCGAAGCCGCCUCCUACACAAUUGCUCUUGUGACUCACUGCAUGUGCAGCACACCUCCAAUAUUUUAAUUCAGAGGCUGGGACAGAAAUGGGAGAAAGCAAACAUGUUGUCCAGUAGUUCUCCAUUAUGUCAGUAGCCCCAACUCUCAGCCUUCCCAAACUGGAACCAUGCAGUUCCUCAGGACCAGCGCAAGCCCUGAACUGGUGGGGUCAGAUCCGCAUGUAAGGCACACCAAGGUUGGUCGCACCAGUGGGACCACCAUUUUCUUUGAAGGUUUUGCCACAGAGAAGUUAAAAUGAAGGACAAAAGAAACAAAAAAAAAAUCUUCCAUCUGGGUUCACCCCCCCACACCUUGAACUUAUUCUCAGAGACCAUUAUGUCUCUAACCAUCAUUCCAACUACUCAAAAUGCUGCAAGAAGAAUCCUGUAAGAAGCCCCUCACCACGUGAAGAGUAUCAUCACAAAUCAAUACAUCGAUUUUCCAUCAAGGUUAAUGGAAGUUAUACAUGCAAGCCCAGAGAAAAAUAUGCCCCGAAUGGCUUUUGUUACAGAACUGCUACCAUCAGUUCUUGAGAGACCUUUCUUGUUAAAUUAUUCAUUUGUAGAAAUAAAACCAUGGGGAGAAAAAAACCCCAACAAUUAUUUCCCUCUAUGAACACAAAAUACAUUACUUGCUGCCUAGGUAGUUGUGUGUCUGUGUUAGGUUUGGUAAGAAAACACAUAUUACA